CGGAGUUGGAUAAAUACAUUAGUGAAGAACAAGAGCCUUUUAGUGAAGAAUUUGAUAUCUUGAGUUGGUGAAAAACACAUGCUCCUAGAUUUCCUAUUCUUUCGGAGUUGGCUCGUGAUGUGUUGGCAAUACCAAUUUCUAGUGUGGCGUCGGAAUGCGCGUUUAGCACUGGUGGCCGUAUUCUUGAUUCAUUUAGGAGUUCAUUGACUCCUAAAUGUGUGCAAGCUCUUAUUUGUGUUCAAGAUUGGCUUAGAGAAGAGAAGAAUCCUAUUAGUGUUGAAGAAGACUUGAAGUAUCUUGAGGAACUCGAGCUUUAUAUGGAAAAUAAUGGAAGCACUACUAGCAUUGUUUGAUGUAUAGUUGCAACUUGCAUCUUGAGUGUUCAAGUGCAAUCAUGCCCCGUGCUACUACUCAACGCCCCGUGCUACUGCUCAAGACUGUUUGUUGAGGGAUGCCCUCUCUGUUUUUGUUGCACUAUGUUUAACUGUUUAAGUGUUAAGACUGUGCAGACUUGCAGUUGGCCAGUUGCAGUGUUGCACUGUGUUUAAGUGUUAAUACUUAGGAGUUAAGACUGUUUUUGUUGGACUGUGUUUAACUGUGUUUAAGUUGUUGGACUUGUUGGACUGUGCUAAGUGUUUAACUAUGUUUAUGUUGUUUAAUAUAGUUGUGUAAUAUGCAUUGUGCAGUUGGCUAGCUUUUGCCAACUACAGUAUACGCCAGAUUCAUUGCAAGUUUGUAUAUGACAUACAGUAUUGACAUACAGUAUUGACUAUAUGAAAUUGUAAGUAUACUGGCGUGCAAGUUUGUAUAAUGUGUAUUGACUAUAUGACAUACAGUAUUGACUA